UCCUAUCUUCUGACCCAAAAAAAUAAAAAACCCUCAAAUCCUUCGACUCCUCCCAUAUUGUUAAUUCCAACUCUUUUUCCCUGGCCUCUCCCAAAUCGCACUCACUCACCAACCGGAGCCACAUAGCGAGAGAGAGAAACAACCAGAGCAGCGGAGAUGAAGACCAUCCUCUCCUCUGAGACGACGGACAUCCCCGACGGUGUCAAGAUCAAAGUCCACGCCAAGAUCAUCGAGAUAGAAGGUUCUUGCGGGAAUCUCAUCUGCAACUUCAAGCUUUUACUCCAAAUUAUGGAGUUAUCGAACAGUAAGCUGCAUCUAGUUUUUAUGCACUGCCUUCUCUAGUAUAUAUAUUAAAUUCAAUACCAGGAUUUGUUGUCCUUCCUUACAGUUUUGGGAAUUUUGGAGGAAUUAUACGUUGAUGAAAUCUGGUAUAAUAGGGAGCUUGAUUGUGGAUGAAUAAUUGAUCCCCGUGUGGAGCAAUUAUUGGGUUAUAUUGUUGGAGAACCUCCUGAGGAUGCUAAAAGCAAACAACCCUUCAAGUUCCCCUUCAUUGCUUAUGAGGUUUUCACUUGUGAAAUUGAUGUUAUAUUAAAGACUGGUGAAUGAAGAGGAGCUAAUGAAGUUACUGUUCUCUUUCUUAGAACCAAAUCGUCCUCCUAGUUGGCUGGGUACUUUACAAGACAAUGUUUAUGGCCAACAUAUUGCAGCAAAUCAUGAUAGUUGCUUUCAUUUGCAUAAACUUUUUUUUUCCCUUCAAAUUGCUUCUAUUUUUUAUUUUUAUUUUUGUGACUGAUUGCAAUUCAAUGAAGGCAUCAGAGAAUUGUUGUGUGAAGGUGGCUCUGCACACUAGACCGGUUAUCGACGAUGAACACAUUCAGGGUUGCAAGGAGUGUGUUGAUGUUGAACUCAGAAAGCCUCAUGUACUUUAAGUUUUGUUUCCACUGAUGAACAUGAACUGGGUUUUCUGAGAUUAGAAUUUGUAGUGUUACUAAAUUUGGAUAUCUGACUUUUGUUUCCUAAGUUAAAAAUUAAUGUGUGGUUUAGUGUUAUUUGGCUUUUUGAGCAUUAUCAAAUAAAGUUUGGUUUUCUGAAA